AGCGAACGCUGGCGGUAUGCUUAACACAUGCAAGUCGAGCGCGAAAGUGACUUCGGUCAUAAGUAGAGCGGCGGACGGGUGAGUAACACGUGGAUAAUCUGCCUUUAGGACUGGGAUAACCCUGGGAAACUAGGGCUAAUACCGGAUAAGACCACAGGUUCCAUGGAACCAGGGGUAAAAGGCGGCCUUCGGGCUGUCGCCGAAAGAUGAGUCCGCGUCCCAUCAGGUAGUUGGUGAGGUAACGGCUCACCAAGCCGAAGACGGGUAGCCGACCUUAGCGGGUGAUCGGCCACACGGGGACUGAGACACGGCCCCG
rnacentral:rRNA from 1 species